rnacentral:lncRNA from 1 species
AAAUGAAACAUGUAUUUUUCAGUAGAAGAAAUAAUUUUUAAUGAAAAAGAGCCUUACUAUAUGACACGAUGUUUAUCGAUUUUAACAGUUCAAAGCACUUUAAAUGGAUACCCCUAAGGAGCAUCUCUAUAAUGCCUCAGUGCUUCCGGUCCUUCCUUUCUCGAAAGCACUGCGACGGCUGCAGACGGCUGCCGGCAGCGUGGUUGUUCCUUUGGCGAGUUGGUGUCUGGCGCACAGCGCGAACGUCUCAUGAGCAAGAAGCCGUAGAGACGAUGCUCUCAAUGUUGGACACCGAAGUGAGGCAACUCAUCGGGCACAACGCCAAAAUGUCCCUGUUGUGUCCUGCUCCUGGGUCACGCGUGUCGCGCCUUGAUAGCCGUGACCUUGAACGACCUUGACCGGCCGGGCCGGGCCGAGCGGCCGAGGGUCAGUAUCGUCCGAGCGGCGCUGGUGUCAACACAGCUGAGUGCCGCGAGGUGAGG